rnacentral:rRNA from 1 species
GAUGAACGCUAGCUACAGGCUUAACACAUGCAAGUCGAGGGGAAACGGCAUUAAGUGCUUGCACUUUUUGGACGUCGACCGGCGCACGGGUGAGUAACGCGUAUCCAACCUUCCCAUGACUAAGGGAUAACCUGCCGAAAGGCAGACUAAUACCUUAUGGUCUUCACUGACGGCAUCAGAUGUGAAGUAAAGAUUUAUCGGUUAUGGAUGGGGAUGCGUCUGAUUAGCUUGUUGGCGGGGUAACGGCCCACCAAGGCAACGAUCAGUAGGGGUUCUGAGAGGAAGGUCCCCCACAUUGGAACUGAGACACGGUCCAAACUCCUACGGGAGGCAGCAGUGAGGAAUAUUGGUCAAUGGGCGAGAGCCUGAACCAGCCAAGUAGCGUGCAGGAUGACGGCCCUAUGGGUUGUAAACUGCUUUUGUAUGGGGAUAAAGUCAAUCACGUGUGAUUGUUUGCAGGUACCAUACGAAUAAGGACCGGCUAAUACCGUG